rnacentral:rRNA from 1 species
GCUCAGUAACACGUAGUCAACCUACCCUAUGGAUGAGGAUAAUCUCGGGAAACUGAGGAUAAUACUCAAUAGAUCAUGAUGCCUGGAAUGGUUUAUGAUUAAAAUGAUUCGUCGCCAUAGGAUGGGACUGCGACCUAUCAGCUUGUUGGUGAGGUAAUGGCCCACCAAGGCGAUUACAGGUACGGGCUCUGAGAGGAGAAGCCCGGAGAUGGGUACUGAGACAAGGACCCAGGCCCUAUGGGGCGCAGCAGGCGAGAAAACUUUGCAAUGUGCGAAAGCACGACAAGGUUAAUCCGAGUGAUUUCUGCUAAAGAAAUCUUUUGUUAGUCAUAAAACCACUUACGAAUAAGGGGUGGGCAAGUUCUGGUGUCACCGCCGCGGUAAA